UACGUAGGGGGCAAGCGUUGUCCGGAUUUAUUGGGCGUAAAGAGCUCGUAGGUGGUUUGGUAAGUCGGAUGUGAAAUCUCCAGGCUCAACCUGGAGGGGUCAUUCGAUACUGCCGUGACUAGAGGUCGGUAGGGGAGUGUGGAAUUCCUGGUGGAGCGGUGAAAUGCGCAGAUAUCAGGAGGAACACCCGUAGCGAAGGCGGCACUCUGGGCCGAUUCUGACACUGAGGAGCGAAAGCGUGGGGAGCGAACAGG
rnacentral:rRNA from 1 species